AUUGAACGCUGGCGGCAGGCCUAACACAUGCAAGUCGAGCGGAGCGGCGGACGGGUGAGUAAUGCCUAGGAAUCUGCCUGGUACUGGGGGAUAACGUCCGGAAACGGGCGCUAAUACCGAAUACUAUCAGAUGCGCCUAGGUCGGAUUAGCUAGGUGGUGGGGUAAAGGUCGACCAAGGCGACGAUCCGUAACUGGGAUGAGAGGAUGAUCAGUCACAGUGGAACUGAGACACGGUCAAGACGCCUACGGGAGGCAGACGUGGGGAAUAUUGUAGAAUGGGCGAAAGGCUGAACCAGCCAUGCCGCGUGGGGGAAGAAGGUCUUCGGGUUGUAAAGCACUUUAAGUUGGGAGGCGUUACCAGCAGAAUAAGCACAGGCUAACUUCGUGCCAGCAGCCGCGGUAAUUC
rnacentral:rRNA from 1 species